AUAUCAAUAAGCGGAGGAAAAGAAACCAACUCGGAUUCCCUCAGUAACGGCGAGUGAAGCGGGAAAAGCCCAGCCCUGAAUCCCAAUCGGGAGUUGUGGGGUGAAGGCACCCAUUUAGACCAUUACAGAACAUCCAAAUGUCUUGGAAAAGAUUGCCAGAGAGGGUGAUAGCCCCGUACGUUGUUCUGUAUCGGUCCAUAUAUUGGGUGACCUCUGAGUAGUGCUGCUUGGGAGUGCAGUGCAAACGGGUGGUAGACUCCAUCUAAGGCUAAAUAUUGUGUGAGAGACCGAUAGCGCACAAGUA
rnacentral:rRNA from 1 species